GAAAUGCGAUAAGUAGUGUGAAUUGCAGAAUUCAGUGAAUCAUCGAAUCUUUGAACGCACAUUGCGCCCUUUGGUAUUCCUUAGGGCAUGCCUGUUCGAGCGUCAUCUAAACCUUCAAGCCCUGCUUGGUGUUGGGUGCCUGUCCCGCCUCCGCGCGCGGACUCACCUCAAAUCCAUUGGCGGCCCCCGCGUCGGCCACGAGCGCAGCAGAAACGCGAACUCGUGAGCCCGUCCGGGCGGCUCCCAGAAGCUACACCCACCCAGUUUGACCUCGGAUCAGGUAGGGAUACCCGCAGAACUUAAGC
rnacentral:misc_RNA from 1 species